GCGCUCGCUGCGCCCGCACGCAGGCGCAGUGCUCGGGCUGGAGGGAGAACUAGUGUCUGCCCCACUUCCGCGCAGGGAUUCUCCAUCUCAGCUCUUUGUACAGGCUUCUCUCGCACCACUACCUGGACUGUUUGGUGCUCUCUUUCACCGGUCUCAUCAUCGCAGUCCGCUGGAUGUCCGCCUCAAAUACGCACGCGUGAAAGCCACGGCGAGGGUCCAAGGCGUGGAAGGCGCCACACACCGAUGACCUAACACGUUUAGUCUACUUCAGAGACGGCGUAACACUAAACAGCAGGUGGAAAGUCACGGGACCUACGGGAGGCAGUGGGAAGGCAGAGAAAAGGUCUUGGGAGCAGGAAGCUUAUAUGGGACAUGAUUCCAGUGAGCAUAAACGGGAAAAGAGAAAAAUGAAUCAGAGAUAAGAAAAUGUGAAAAGAAGAACUCAAUAAAGACAAGACUCAAUAAAAGCAAGACCAUCAAGAACUUAGAUCCUUCAUGAACAAAAGUUUGUGUCACUAUCAAGAUAAAGGUCCACAACUAGCCAAAACUAAGAACAGUGGGAAUGUGAAAUAAGAAGUGGCAGAGGGAAGUGCUGAGUAUCAACUUUGUGCUUAUGAUUGGUUUAAAAAAAUGACUGAGAAUGGCAUGCAUUUUUAUUUUACAUUAAUAUUAAUUUGUCCCCUUUCUGUAUUAUUGUGUACAAAGUAUGCCAAUGGUGUUUGUUUGUUUGUUUUUUGGUACCAGGGAUCAAACUCAGGUCCUUGUACUUGCAAGGCAGGCAGCAGAACCACUGAGCUAAAUCCCCAGCCCUGCCAAUGGUACUUUACUUAACCAAUUAGUUCACAUGUCACUAAAAUUUGAGAAUCCAUGGUUUAAUGGGAAAAACUAUGUAUUCCCUAGACCUCUUCGACCUUUAAGAUUGUAAUAGUAACAAAUCUCACCCAUGUUGAGGACACUACAAAGGCAUCUUCAUUUGUAUAUUGUAUAGUUGUAUGCUGUUUGAAGCACAGAGUUGUUGUAAUAUAGGAGGUAAAUAUCUUGGAUAGCAGAAGAUGUGGACCAUGCCAAUUAUUUGCCUAUUUGUUCUUGAAUCUAUUCUCUGGUUUUCCUAUGGAUCAAUCUCUCAAGGAAAUACAUUUCCCAGGAUCCCUGGACAAGUGGCUUCCAGGUAAGUUUGGCCAAUAGGAGGCUCUAGUAGAACACUGGAGUAGUUCCAUACUCCAGAAAGAAGUAUCAGGGUAUUUCAUUCCCUUCUCAGGUCGUGUUUCUCAGCCAGUUUCUCUGGCUGUGUUACCACUGUGUCUCCAGGUCUCACUAAACAAUUCUUUACUUCAUGAUCUGCAUUUCCUGCCAUGAUACUAGCUCUUGGGUGGCACCAGCUUCAGUCUCUGAUAAUAAGAACCCUCUGCUGUCCCUCUACUACUUACUAGAAGUAGUAGCAGCUGUACAAUGUUACUAAUCUCUGGUUUAUUUCACUGUCUAAUGUUUGACUUCUCACCUCUUCCAUCAACUGUAGAGAUAAUACUCUGGAUUAAAAUUCCUCUGCUUUUCAGACCUAGAAUAGAUUGUUUUCUUGAUGAACCUAAUAUCUAACCUAAUGUUUAUCCUGUGCCCAGUCUGGUCCAUAGGAUGUUAUAACCCACUGCUGGCAACUUGGCCCACUAAGAAGGAUCUGGCUGGUAGUGAUCAUUGCAGGGGUGGAUAUAAGCAGAAUUAACUAUGAGAGGUGAAAGUUAUAGUUGCUAAAAUGUGGGUUGGAUGUAAGGAAUACAUGAGCCCACCUGCCCUUAGCCCUUUUAAUUUCACAACCUGCACUGUCUAACACAGUAGCCACUAGCACUAUAAAUGAAUUGAAAUGUGGCUCAUCUGAAUUAAUAUUUGUAUUAAAUGUAAAUUGCACACCAGAUUUCAAAGACUAGGUGUGAAAAAAUAUCACAAUAAUAAUUUUUAUAUUGAUUUGGGGGCAUAUUAUGCUAAAUAAAUUUUAUACUGAUAAAAUUAAUUUUACCUGUUUCUUUUUACUUUUUAAGGUGGCUACUAGAAAACUUAAAGUUACACAUGGCACCCAGGCAUGAUGGCACAUGCCUAUAAUCCCAGCACUUGGA